GAUGAACGCUAGCGGCGGCUUAAUACAUGCAAGUCGAGGGGCAGCGCAGUGUAGCAAUACAUGGGCGGCGACCGGCAAACGGGUGCGUAGCACGUACGCAACCUUCCCGUUACUGUGGGAUAGCCCAGGGAAACUUGGAUUAAUACCACAUAUUGCCAUUGGGAGGCAUCUCUUGAUGGCCAAAGAAUUUCGGUAACGGAUGGGCGUGCGGUUGAUUAGGUAGUUGGCGGGGUAACGGCCCACCAAGCCUACGAUCAAUAGCUGAUGUGAGAGCAUGAUCAGCCACACGGGCACUGAGACACGGGCCCGACUCCUACGGGAGGCAGCAGUAAGGAAUAUUGGGCAAUGGACGCAAGUCUGACCCAGCCAUGCCGCGUGAAGGAUGAAGGUCCUCUGGAUUGUAAACUUCUUUUAUCUGGGGCGAAAUGCACUUUUUCUAAGGUGUUUGACGGUACCAGAGGAAUAAGCACCGGCUAACUCCGUGCCAGCAGCCGCAGUAA
rnacentral:rRNA from 1 species